rnacentral:rRNA from 1 species
UACGGAGGGAGCGAGCGUUAAUCGGAAUUACUGGGCGUAAAGCGUGCAUAGGCGGUUAUUUAAGUCAGAUGUGAAAGCCCUGGGCUUAACCUGGGAACUGCAUUUGAUACUGGAUGACUAGAGUUGAGUAGAGGAGAGUGGAAUUUCAGGUGUAGCGGUGAAAUGCGUAGAGAUCUGAAGGAACACCAGUGGCGAAGGCGACUCUCUGGAGUAAAACUGACGCUGAGGUACGAAAGCGUGGGUAGCAAACAGG